rnacentral:rRNA from 1 species
UACGUAGGGGGCAAGCGUUAUCCGGAAUUACUGGGUGUAAAGGGUGCGUAGGCGGUAAUGUAAGUCAGGUGUGAAAGCCCGGAGCUCAACUUCGGGAUUGCACUUGAAACUACAUAACUAGAGUACAGGAGAGGUGAGUGGAAUUCCUAGUGUAGCGGUGAAAUGCGUAGAUAUUAGGAGGAACACCAGUGGCGAAGGCGACUCACUGGACUGUAACUGACGCUGAGGCACGAAAGCGUGGGGAGCGAACAGG